rnacentral:tRNA from 1 species
GCGGGUUUGGUGGAAUUGGCAGACGCACCAGACUUUGGAUCAGGCGCUUUACGGCGUUGGCGUUCAAGUCCCUUAACCCGCA